ACUAAAAACCUAGCCCAACAACUAUGUAUUUAACUAAACCAACUAAAACCCUAUAAUAAAUCAUUCUAACGCUUUAGUAAAGGAGAUUGAAAAACUUAUUGGAGCCAUAAUGACAGUACCGCAAGGGAACGGUGAAAUAUUUAGUGAAAAAUUUUAAGUAUAAAAAAGUAAAGAUUACCCCUUGUACCUUUUGCAUCAUGGUUUAACUAGUCUCACCAAGCAAGACGUAUCUAAGUUUGACUCCCCGAAACUAAGUGAGCUACUUCAGGGCAGCUAAAAGAGCAAACCCGUCUCUGUAGCAAAAGAGUGGGAUGACCUUCAAGUAGCGGUGACAGACCUAACGAACUUAGUGAUAGCUGGUUGCCCAAGAAACGGAUCUAAGUCCAACCUGAAAUUUAAUCUAGUCCUCAUAAACAUCUUCUAAUAUUUCAGCGUAAUUCAAAUAAGGUACAGCCUAUUUGAAACAGGAUACAACCUAAACUAACGGAUAAGAUCAGCCUGUAACACAAUCAAGUGGGCCUAAAAGCAGCCACCUUUAAAAUUGCGUCAAAGCUUAGUUGUCUUCAUGCUAAAUUACCAAACCCACAUCUUAAUCCUUUUUCAAUAUUGAGCAAUUCUAUACUGGUAUAGAAAAUUUUAUGUUAAAACUAGUAACAAGAAGAAGACCCUUCUCUUAAACGUAAGUGUAAAUCAGAAAGGACAAACCACUGAUAAUCAACGCCCAUGAACCUAAAGUAGUAACAAACCAAGAAAACACUACUCUCUCCAACGUUAACCUUACACAAGAGCACUUUAAGAAAGAUUAAAAGAAAAAGAAGGAACUCGGCAAAUAUUAACCUCGCCUGUUUACCAAAAACAUCGCCUCUUGCAAAAUAUAAGAGGUCCAGCCUGCCCAGUGACUCUGUUCAACGGCCGCGGUAUCCUAACCGUGCGAAGGUAGCGUAAUAACUUGUUCUUUAAAUGUGGACUAGUAUGAAUGGCACCACGAGGGUUAUACUGUCUCCUUUCUCUAAUCAGUGAAACUGAUCUCCCCGUGAAGAAGCGGGGAUACACCUAUAAGACGAGAAGACCCUAUGGAGCUUUAAACAAAAUAGCACUUGCCCUACAACACAAAAAUUCCUGAAUCACUAACACACCCGGCAACAUGACUAUAAGUUUUUGGUUGGGGUGACCACGGAGUACAACACAACCUCCGUAUUGAAAGAAUACUAUUCUAAGCUAAGAACUACGAAUCUAAGCAUCAAAACACUGACAUCUAUUGACCCAAUACAAUUGAACAACGAACCAAGUUACCCUAGGGAUAACAGCGCAAUCCACUUCGAGAGCUCCUAUCGACAAGUGGGUUUACGACCUCGAUGUUGGAUCAGGGUCUCCCAGUGGUGCAGCCGCUACUAAUGGUUCGUUUGUUCAACGAUUAAAAC
rnacentral:rRNA from 1 species